rnacentral:rRNA from 1 species
CAAGUCGAACGGGGUAGCAAUACCUAGUGGCGCACGGGUGAGUAACGCGUGGAUAAUCUGCCUUAGAGUGGGGGAUAACUAGUCGAAAGAUUAGCUAAUACCGCAUAAGACCACAAGAACUGCGGUUCAAGGGGUCAAAGGUUUUUCGCUCUAAGAUGAGUCCGCGUAAGAUUAGCUAGUUGGUGAGGUAAUGGCUCACCAAGGCGACGAUCUUUAACUGGUCUGAGAGGAUGAUCAGUCACACUGGAACUGAGACACGGUCCAGACUCCUACGGGAGGCAGCAGUAGGGAAUAUUGCACAAUGGAGGAAACUCUGAUGCAGCGACGCCGCGUGAGUGAUGAAGGCCUUCGGGUCGUAAAGCUCUGUCGCAGGGGAAUAACACAAUGAAUGUACCCUGUAAGAAAGGAUCGGCUAACUUCGUGCCAGCAGCCGCGGUAAGACGAGGGAUCCUAGCGUUGUUCGGAAUUAUUGGGCGUAAAGCGGAUGUAGGUGGCUUUGUAAGUCAGAUGUGAAAGCCCAGGGCUCAACCCUGGAAGUGCAUUUGAUACUGCGAAGCUUGAGUGUCGGAGAGGUUACUAGAAUUGUUGGUGUAGUGGUGAAAUACGUAGAUAUCAACAGGAAUACCGGAGGCGAAGGCGGGUAACUGGCCGAACACUGACACUGAGAUCCGAAAGCGUGGGGAUCAAACAGGAUUAGAUACCCUGGUAGUCCACGCCGUAAACGAUGGAUACUUGUUGUUAGAGGUA